GUCAACGUCCGUUGGCUGGGGUGAAACACUCGUUCCCGUUAGAUCACGAAAGUUAAGCACCCCAGGUUGCGGGGCGGUCUGGGAUGGGUGACCGCUCCGUGAUGACGUUGGCG
rnacentral:rRNA from 1 species